rnacentral:piRNA from 1 species
CAGGAAAUUACAAUCCCAGUUCUUUGUCCA